GGCCAGACUCCUACGGGAGGCAGCAGUGGGGAAUAUUGCACAAUGGGGGGAACCCUGAUGCAGCGACGCCGCGUGGGUGAAGAAGUCAUUCGUGACGUAAAGCCCUAUCAGCAGGGAAGAAAAUGACGGUACCUGACUAAGAAGCCCCGGCUAACUACGUGCCAGCAGCCGCGGUAAUACGUAGGGGGCAAGCGUUAUCCGGAUUUACUGGGUGUAAAGGGAGCGUAGACGGAAAGGCAAGUCAGAAGUGAAAGCCCAAGGCUCAACCAUGGGACUGCUUUUGAAACUGUCAAACUAGAGUACGGGAGAGGUAAGAGGAAUUCCUAGUGUAGCGGUGAAAUGCGUAGAUAUUAGGAGGAACACCAGUGGCGAAGGCGGCCUGCUGGGCUUUAACUGACGCUGAGGCUCGAAAGCGUGGGGAGCAAACAGGAUUAGAUACCCCCGUA
rnacentral:rRNA from 1 species